rnacentral:rRNA from 1 species
GACGAACGCUGGCGGCGUGCCUAAUACAUGCAAGUCGAGCGGACAGAAGGGAGCUUGCUCCCGGAAGUUAGCGGCGGACGGGUGAGUAACACGUGGGCAACCUACCCUGUAGAUCGGGAUAACAUCGAGAAAUCGGUGCUAAUACCGGAUAAUCAUUUGAAGCGCAUGCUUCGAAUGUAAAAGAUGGCUCCGGCUAUCACUACGGGAUGGGCCCGCGGCGCAUUAGCUAGUUGGUAAGGUAAUGGCUUACCAAGGCAACGGUGCGUAGCCGACCUGAGAGGGUGAUCGGCCACACUGGGACUGAGACACGGCCCAGACUCCUACAGGAGGCAGCAGUAGGGAAUCUUACGCAAUGGACGAAAGUCUGACGGAGCAACGCCGCGUGAGUGAUGAAGGUUUUCGGAUCGUAAAGCUCUGUUGUUAGGGAAGAACAAGUGCCGUUUGAAUAAGGCGGCACCUUGACGGUACCUAACCAGAAAGCCACGGCUAACUACGUGCCAGCCGCCGCAGUAACAC